rnacentral:lncRNA from 12 species
AUGGUUGGUCCCAUCAAUCCAAUGGACGUGUUAAGGGAAUCCACCAUAUAUGUAUUUUUCAGACAAAAUUUCAAAGGAUCGGUCUGCCUUCCUAAAGAAAGGCUGUAUCCUUGGGGCCUGAGUGCCCCUAGCACGUGUCUGUGGAAACCAGCCCCUCAAAAAGGAGGCCUUCUCAAAUGUCCCCCAAACAUUCAGUUCCAGGGUCAGCAUCUGCCCCAAAGAGGACACUCUCCCACCAGGCUUAUGAUGAAGAGAUUUGGGACCAUGAGUCUGCCUCAAGGAGUCUCGUGCCUUAAGGGAGAUGCUGCAGAAGGCCAGGGAAGCCAGUCCCACACCGGGAAGACCCCAUGGCAGCCCAGGCUCACACAGUGGAGGCCUCAGAUGCAGCAGCUGAGCAAGAAAAAAUAUCUUGGAGCAAUCCAGCCUCCUCUGCCCCUCCGGAAUCCCUGGCUCACGCUGGAGUGUGGAUCUCUGCACCCGCCCUAGGCAAGCCAUCAUUGGUAGGGGCCUCUGCAUUGUCAGGAGGACCAAACGAGGCCAGGAAGGGCCUCUACCCACCACAUGGACCCUCCCACGGGGCAAGUGGCUCACUCCUAGGCCUUCAGUCCUGGCAGGCAGGCCUUGGGGCGCUGGGAUUACAGACACGGGAGCAGCUAAGGGCCUGGCUGGCAAGCGGGGGAACCGAGCAGUCACCCUGGACAACCUUGGAAAGCAAAGCUCUUUAGAAACAGCCACGCUAUGGCGCUGGGAAACAGAGGCCAAGUGAGCUCCGGAUGCAGGAAAGCCAUCCCCGCCCAGCGCCGGCUGCCGGAAGGAACACGCACCUCACGAGCACCCACUGUGUGCGUGCCCUGCGCAAAAGGACUCUGCAAAGGAGGUGGGAUUUGCUCCCGUGGCCCAGAGGAGACAACGGAGGACAGAAGAAGGAAAGUCACAAACUCAGGCUCCCCCGGUCAGGGUGACACAGGAGUGCGCAGGUGGUAACCGCGAUGGGGCACCCACUGUGUGCCUGCGCUAAGCGGGCAGAGGGAGGGGGUGCCCGGACCCCCAUUCUCAUCAGGCACUGCUCUAAGUGACCCACACAGAGUCACAUAGUUAACCCUUGCGGUGGGAGUCCCAUGGGAGGUGGGGUAGGUGCGAUCAUCACUCUCCAUAGCAGGAGGUCUGCGGUGGAGCGGGUUGUCAGGAAGAGGCUAGGGGUGGGUUCAAACCCAGACAGUCCAGUCACUGCCUCUUUGGUAGGGCAAGGGCCAGAGGCUGAGGAGCUGCUUUGUCUCAGGGCUGGGGACAGGCCAGAGGGUCUCACCCCCCCUGGAGCUCGGGUCCCCCACCAGGAUGCCAGCCCGCGGUUCUGACCAUGGCCACUAGGUGGCAGGGCCAUGCAGGCGGUGGUGGCCUGGCCCGGGAGCAGGGCCCGGGAGCAUCCUCCUGGGGGGUGGGGUGGCGGGGGACAGCCCUGACCUGACCACCCACCUCCAGCUCCCCGGAGAAGUCUGGUGUCCGAGGCUUGCUGUGGUUGCGGAGCGUCAGGCUGAGCUGCAGGCCAUGGUCUGGGUCCGGGGUGAGGCCCAGCUGGCAGUGGGAAUGCAGCAGGAGCUCCCUGUGGCCCAGGGUGUGCUCCCCGGAGACUGAGAGAGCCUGGAACGAGAAGGUGGGUGUUAGCGGUCACGGUCACGGUCACGGAGGCUCAGGGGCAGCAGCUUCCCCUCCCCACCAAGCCCUGGCCUGAUCCAGACCACUAGGGCUGUCGCAAAAGCCUCUUGGGUCUCCCAUCCCCCAGGUCAGCCCCAGCCCCAGCCCAUAGGCCCUCCUCUACUUGGUAACCAGAUUGACCUUUAAAAAUGCGAAUCAGACAUUAUCCCUGUGCUCAAAAACUCUCUGCCUUCCACCGUACUGAGAAGAAAAGCUGCCUUGGCACGGCCCACUGGUCAGUAUUAUCUUCUUAACCUUACCUCCUUGCUCUCUAAAGGCUGCCCUAUGUUCCUUAAAUACCCUAAGCAUGUUCUGCCACAGGGCCUUUGCACUGGCUAUUCCCUCUGCAGAGCUUGGCCCUGUCAGUGAGGCCCCCUUGCAACCCCCUGUCUCCUCUCCCUGCUUCAUUCCUUCACGGCAUGGAUCAUGCCUGAGUACAUAUCAUGCAUCUUGUUUAACUCUUUCCACGCCCUGGAAUGUGAGCUCCAGGGGGUGGGGUACCCCGACUGCCCUUGUUCCUGCACCUAAGUACAGGGUCUUGCAUAAGUAAAAACCACAAAUGCUUUCUGAACAAAUGGAUGAAUGGGGUUGGCAAACUGCCUCAAGAGCCAAAGAACACUGCUUAUUGUUGUAAAUAAAUAUGUAUUGGAGCAGGGCCA